rnacentral:tRNA from 5 species
GCCGGAGUGGUGGAAUUGGCAGACACGCACGACUCAAAAUCGUGUGCUCGAAAGGGCAUGGGAGUUCGACUCUCCCCUCCGGCA